GACGAACGCUGGCGGCGUGCUUAACACAUGCAAGUGGAGCGACGAACCCUUCGGGGGGCAAAGCCGCGAACGGGUGAGUAACACGUGGGUAACCUGCCCCGAUGACUGGGACAACCCGGGGAAACCCGGGCUAAUACCGGAUGAUGUGCACACACUUAAGUGUGUUCACUAAAGGUAGCUUCGGCUUCCGCAUUGGGAGGGGCCCGCGGCCCAUUAGCUUGUUGGUGAGGUAACGGCUCACCAAGGCAACGAUGGGUAGCUGGUCUGAGAGGACGAUCAGCCACACUGGAACUGAGACACGGCCCAGACUCCUACGGGAGGCAGCAGUGGGGAAUCUUGCGCAAUGCGCGAAAGCGUGACGCAGCAACGCCGCGUGAGGGAAGACGGCCUUCGGGUUGUAAACCUCUUUCAGUAGGGACGAAGGCCGGCCGGUGAAUAGCCGUGUCGGUUGACGGUACCUUCAGAAGAAGCUCCGGCUAACUACGUGCCAGCAGCCGCCGUAAAAC
rnacentral:rRNA from 1 species